UAUCUAUCUAUUAUGCAUUAUCGAUUACAUAUAAAAAGCGAGCAAUUUUUAUAUUCACAUUUUACUAAGGAAUAGUAAUCCUCCAGUUGCUGACUCGUGUCAUUGCUUGCAAUCCUAACCCUCUAUUGAUUUGUUCCCAUUUUUCUUUUCAUCCGCUGUCUUUUCCAUCUCCGUUUUUUUCCUUUACCCACUUCUUGCAAUGCUAACCCACUUCUUGGUUUUUCCCCUCCCUCUCUGCUCCAUCACCCACUUGCUUCCUCUCAUUAAUUAUAAACUUUCUUCUAUGUUUUUUUCUCUUUCCUCUUUCCCUCUUGUGACUUUCUUUCUUGAUUUUAAUGUAGUUUUGAUUUAUUCUCGUUCAGGUGAAUUAAUCAAUUCGAGCAAAGAAAGCAAAGGACUCAUCACUCCAAAGUGAAUCAAUCAUUAUGAUUUGAUUACCAUGAGCUUUGAAGAAGCAGCAAUGUCGUUUGCUGCCCAAUAGUUGAAUAAAGAUGCAAGAUCAGGUAAAGGAAGAAGUAUCAUUUAGUAAUCAAAGGAUUAAAUACCAUGUUUUGAGAAUAAAGGCGGCAUCAACAAAGAAGAAGCCGAGGGUAACAGGCACGGUAGCUAGUGGCCUUGAGCCUUGUGGCUUUUGAAGUUUCUGCUCAUUCUCUAUGACUCCUAUAUUUUUUGAUAUUUGUAUUUUUGAUCAGACGAAAAUAAGCCUUAUGGCUUAUGUAUUAAUAAUUUUUUUGUGGCUUGUCACUUCUACAAUAUUCUUUGGAAUAAUAUUAGUUUUUCUUAUGGCUUUUACAUUA